GAGGCACACUGUUAGAGCUGGGAGCAAAGGCCACUGACUGGCCAAUGAUCUCAUCAGUAUAGUGUGCUACAUGAAGGGACAGAUUAAGCCUGUAACACCCCAAGGGUCUCUGGGCCAAUGACAAGAAUGCGAUAUUAAUCCUUGCUACAGGG
rnacentral:snoRNA from 1 species